UACAGAGGGUGCUAGCGUUGUUCGGAAUCAUUGGGCGUAAAGCGCACGUAGCGGAUGUGCCAGUCAGGGGUGAAAUCCCGGAGCUCAACUUCGGAACUGCCUCUGAUACAGCACGUCUUGAGUCCGGAAGAGGUGGGUGGAAUUCCUAGUGUAGAGGUGAAAUUCGUAGAUAUUAGGAAGAACACCGGUGGCGAAGGCGGCCCACUGGUCCGGUACUGACGCUGAGGUGCGAAAGCGUGGGGAGCAAACAGGAUUAGAUACCGGU
rnacentral:rRNA from 1 species